UUGGGAAACCCUUUGAACCAUUGAAAACACAUCCUUGAACACUUAUAUACACAUUUAUCUUUUUAUCAACCCAUAUAGCAUACGAAUCAUCCUCAAAACAAGGCUAAAAAGACUAGAAUAGUGACACUAGAAUGCAUAAAUACACCCAACAUCAGGUGUAGCAAAGUCGUGGAAGGUAGAGGUCACGGGGGGACCAAACCUGAAAACCUAUGUUUACCAAUGUGAGGUUUGGUCAUGGUGAUCGUCUGCAUGAUAUCACACUUUAUAUUUUGGUGGAUUUACUAGCCAUCCCAGAUUUAUUUCUCUAGUACGUGUGGCUUCAUGUACUUGGACCCUUUUAGCAGGGAGAGCUGAACCCAUAUAACCAGUGGGUAGUUUUAAAAUGGAAAAGAUAAAAAACCUAGUUAAAGGUUUUAAAUAUAUACUAAACCUUGUUCCCUU
rnacentral:lncRNA from 1 species